UACGAAGGGGGCUAGCGUUGCUCGGAAUCACUGGGCGUAAAGCGCACGUAGGCGGCUUUUUAAGUCAGGGGUGAAAUCCUGGAGCUCAACUCCAGAACUGCCUUUGAUACUGAGAAGCUUGAGUCCGGGAGAGGUGAGUGGAACUGCGAGUGUAGAGGUGAAAUUCGUAGAUAUUCGCAAGAACACCAGUGGCGAAGGCGGCUCACUGGCCCGGUACUGACGCUGAGGUGCGAAAGCGUGGGGAGCAAAC
rnacentral:rRNA from 1 species